rnacentral:tRNA from 1 species
GAGACAUAAUGGCUCAGUGCGUCUGGCUGUUAACCAGAAGGUUGGUGGUUCGAGCCCACCCCG